UACGUAGGGUGCAAGCGUUGUCCGGAAUUAUUGGGCGUAAAGAGCUCGUAGGCGGUCUGUUGCGUCGGCUGUGAAAACCCGAGGCUCAACCUCGGGCCUGCAGCCGAUACGGGCAGACUAGAGUUCGGCAGGGGAGACUGGAAUUCCUGGUGUAGCGGUGAAAUGCGCAGAUAUCAGGAGGAACACCGAUGGCGAAGGCAGGUCUCUGGGCCACUACUGACGCUGAGAAGCGAAAGCAUGGGGAGCGAACAGG
rnacentral:rRNA from 1 species